rnacentral:rRNA from 1 species
AGCGAACGCUGGCGGCAGGCCUAAUACAUGCAAGUCGAGCGGUAAGGCCCCUUCGGGGGUACGACGAGCGGCGGACGGCUGAGUAACGCGUAGGAACAUACCCCAAAGUGAGGGAGUAAGCACUGGAAACAGUGUCUAAUACCGCAUGUGAUCCAAGGAUUAAAGCUUCGGCGCUUUGGGAAUGGCCUGCGUAAGAUUAGCUUGUUGGUGAGGUAAUGGCUCACCAAGGGCGACGAUCUUUAGCUGGUCUGAGAGGAUGAUCAGCCAGACUGGGAC